rnacentral:misc_RNA from 1 species
UUAAGUUCAGCGGGUAUCCCUACCUGAUCCGAGGUCAAACCAUAGAAGAUUUGGGGGUCAUCUGGCGGGUGGUGCCCGAGCUCCGGAGCGGAUAGAAUUGACUACGCUGGGAGACGGACACCACUGCCUAUGAGUUUCGGACACGUCCUUGCGGACGAAGUCCAAUACCAAGCAGAAGCUUGAGGUUUGAAAUGACGCUC